AUGCAAUUGUAGCCAGUGAGAAAUGUCCCUCACGUGGUACCGUGGGUUUAAGCCCCUCCCACUUCCCGGUUCACCAAUUAGUCUGGGUAUAAGGCUCCAUUUGUACAACACUACAGGAGCAUGCUGUUUUCCUGUGUUGGAGUCUGGUUUUGACAACCCGUUUUGAGCUGGAGUGCGUGGGGCUGGCAGCGGCGUGGCUACCCGGAUGGUGGUGGGGCUGGUUGGACUGGGCCUCUCACUUUCUCCUCCCCUUUUUCUUAGUUGCAUGUUUUUGGUUUUUGAUUUACAUUGUUUUGCGUGAGUGUGGAUGUGGCACUGGGGGGAGUGAGGGCAUUGUCCUAGAGCUUGUCCCCCCUCUUUUCCCCUUCUUAGCCCGCUGCAGCCUACGGCCCCAAUAGAAUUGAAUUUGUUUAUGAAAACCUUUCUUUGACAUUCCCAGAGCUGAAGGGAAUUAUUGAAAUUAAUUGUUACCUUUUUGAUAUUUUAAGAAACUCCAAUAAAUAUUGUACUCUGGGGGAAUAUUUUUGCUUCGGUCUGUUUAUACUGGUCAUCUGUGGGUCCGUGGUGGAUUAAUUAAUAUCCCUACGGGACGAUAACCGCCCCUCCGUACCUACCGGUAGGUUACACAAUAAUUUUGUUAAUGUG
ensembl:lncRNA